GAGUUUGAUCNUGGCUCAGGAUGAACGCUGGCGGUCUGCUUAACACAUGCAAGUCGAACGGGACUCUUCGGAGUUUAGUGGCGGACGGGUGAGUAACGCGUGAGAAUCUGCCCUUAGGUUGGGGACAACAGUUGGAAACGACUGCUAAUACCCAAUGUGCCGAGAGGUGAAAGGUUAACUGCCUGGGGAUGAGCUCGCGUCUGAUUAGCUAGUUGGAGUGGUAACGGCACACCAAGGCGACGAUCAGUAGCUGGUCUGAGAGGAUGAUCAGCCACACUGGGACUGAGACACGGCCCAGACUCCUACGGGAGGCAGCAGUGGGGAAUUUUCCGCAAUGGGCGAAAGCCUGACGGAGCAAGACCGCGUGAGGGAGGAAGGCCUAUUGGUUGUAAACCUCUUUUGAUAGGGAAGAACACAAUGACGGUACCUAUCGAAUCAGCAUCGGCUAACUCCGUGCCAGCAGCCGCGGUAAUACGGGGGAUGCAAGCGUUAUCCGGAUUUAUUGGGCGUAAAGCGUCCGUAGGUGGCAAACCAAGUCAGUUGUUAAAGCGUAGAGCUUAACUCUAUAAGGGCAAUUGAAACUGGUUAGCUAGAGUGCGAUAGGGGCAAGGGGAAUUCCCAGUGUAGCGGUGAAAUGCGUAGAUAUUGGGAAGAACAUCGGUGGCGAAGGCGCCUUGCUGGGUCUGCACUGACACUGAGGGACGAAAGCUAGGGGAGCGAAAGGGAUUAGAUACCCCUGUAGUCCUAG
rnacentral:rRNA from 1 species